UGACCUCGGAUCAGGUAGGAAUACCCGCUGAACUUAAGCAUAUCAAUAAGCGGAGGAACACCUCCCU
rnacentral:rRNA from 1 species